GUGAGGAAUAUUGGGCAAUGGAUGCAAGUCUGACCCAGCCAUCCCGCGUGCCGGAAGAAGGCCCUCAGGGUUGUAAACGGCUUUUGACGGUGAAGAAUCGACAGGAUGCGUCCUGUUUUGACGGUAGCCGUUGAAUAAGCACCGGCUAACUCCGUGCCAGCAGCCGCGGUAAUACGGAGGGUGCGAGCGUUGUCCGGAUUUAUUGGGUUUAAAGGGAGCGUAGGCUGGAAGGUCAGUCAGCGGUGAAAAGAUGUCGCUUAACGAUAGUCUUGCCGCAGAUACUUCAUUUCUUGGAUGAGGAGGAGGCCACUGGAACGGAUGGUGUAGCGGUGAAAUGCAUAGAUAUCAUCCAGAACACCGAUUGCGAAGGCAGGUGGCUGUACCUUAAUCGACGCUGAUGCACGAAAGCAUGGGGAGCAAACAGGAUUAGAAACCCGGGUAGUCC
rnacentral:rRNA from 1 species